GAGGGAAGAGAGAAAUGGUUGGGAUGGUGGCAUGGGACACUGGGCGGCAGGACACCUGGGUUCUGUCCCCAGCUCUGGGAGGAGAAUGGGGUCUGGCAGACUGAACGGACGAAGCUGGAGAUAGAACCCAGGCGUCCUGACACCCAGCCCCCACUACUCUAACCACUAGACCCCACUCCCCUCCCAGAGCUGGGGAUAGAACCCAGGAGUCCUGGCUCCCAGCUCCCCCCUGCUCUAACCACUAGACUCCACUCCCCUCCCAGAGCCAGUGUUACCUAGCAGCUCUGUGUUCUUGGGGAACCAGGGCGCAGUACCCAGCCUGUCUGACUCACUAAAGACUUUCCCCCUCCCCCCCCCACCUCUGCUUGAGCCAAAACCCAUCAGAAGAAAGACUUACAAAGAGCAUUGACAAGGCCGCGGGAGACACCCCUAAACCCCCGGAAUAAGGGGGACAGGAUUAAGGAAAGUCCCCGAGCCUCAUUUGCAUCGAAGAUGGGACAAGGAGGCACCUCCAUGAGCAUACAGAACAGAGAACAGAGAUUCCAGGGCAAGAACCGCCAGGGAACUCUGGGACCAGAAAAGCAGGGAAGCACUGCAUCAUGGGGGAUCUCUGCUCCAGAUGUUAAUGGACCCACGCCUGCACACCCCCAGCUCAGCAGUGAUCAGACCAAUUCUAGUAAUGAAUCUUUGAUUGGUAUCCAAACUAGUGAAACUCCUUAAUUGCACUGUGAGCUCCCUCCAAGGAACACCGCCCAAAGCCAGGAAUGAGCAGCUCCCAAGUCUAGCCUGAACAAAGCAACUUUGGUAUUCUCCCUUGUCCACACACAUAUCUAGUGUUCUCCCUUGAACCAUGGCUGUUUCCCUACAAAACCCCCCACCCACGCUCACGUAAGUGUUCUGAUGCCUGGAUCCAAACUCUGCACCAGUUCCACUGGGAUUUCAUCUUCUCCUGACUGACUGUGCUGGGGGCUCUGCCUGUCUCCAGCACUCCGGACCUCAGCUACCACCUGGGACCCCCGACCGAUUCAAGCGUCACGGAGUGGUGAGACCCCAGCUCUCUCUCUAGGCUGGCCGCCCCCAGUUACAGUUUCUAAAGCUGACGUUGACAAUCAAGUUUAAGUUGGAUUUAAUACCAUCACUGUUUUGUUUGUUUGGCUCCCGUGUGGUUAUUACCUGGCGAUAAAUAACUUUCAUGAUUAA